GGUCCUGGACGCGUCAAGAAAACAAUCUCCCGUUUUUUCCACUUUAAAUAACGACUUCUAUUGGCGUGCUGGUGGUGAUGGUGGUGGAAGGGACGAGGGGGGCGAGUUCAGAACUUUGCUUGGACUGGGAGGGUGGGAGGACCUGGUUGGGACGAACAAAAGUCGUUUUGUUUGGUGAUGCCGAGUUGACCGGGCAGCCUUGGAAGCCCUCACCCGGGAAGGCAGCGAGCUGUUUGCUUGUUUACAGCGAAGGUGAGAGUCAAGUUAUCUAUUGAGAGAGGCGAACGGGGAGGGGGACUGUGCCUGCAGCCAGGAAUCUAUUUGUGGACUUCAUAGAGGCAUGCUCGGAUCAAGUCCCAAAGCUUUGGCAUGGUGUUUAUUAGCCAAGUUGUGUAUUGCAAAUUAAUACCCGCAGUGGCGUUUAUGAAUGAGAACGAGAAAAAAAAAAUCAACUUCCCCCAUGUUUGGCAGCUUCCCAAUCAGAGGUCUUCCCCCUUCGGCCCCCCCCUCCCCUUUUUGGUGUGUCGUACUUGUUUGUUUUUGGAGGUUCCCACUUUGUUCCAGCCCACUGCCUGGGUUGGAAGUCCGGGAGGAAACGAACGCAGGGAGUUCUCCGGGAGGCUGGCUUACACUUCCUACGGAUGCGGGAGACGGGGUAAGCCCAUCCAGCAUCCCUCCGCGGGCGGGAGGCGAUGAUAACUAAGCAGCCAGCCAGAAGCGGAGGGGACCACCAUGGAAAGAUUUGUACUGAGGUCAUCCCCUGCGUAAACUGCAAGGCCAAACCAGAUUCCAACACCGCUGUACCCAAUGGAUCUCCGGGAAAGGCAGACUUCUUAAAGCUGAAAGUUUUGUGCGAGUUUUAGCUCCUUUCCUUGGGACCAUUUAGAAGCCUCCCAUUUCAAGUGAAUUGCAGUGCUUUUCUCUCCCAGUACAGAGAAAUAAGGUUUGGGACGUAAUAUUCUGUAAUAAAAAUGUUGGCAACUUUUAAGAUCCUAUUCUACCUGCAACAUACUCAGCAGAAGACUCUAUGAGGCAAUUCAUUUUAAUGUCAUCAGUCAUCAUCAGUAUCGUUUUGAUAGUGUGCUGAUAAAUUUUCCCUCAAGGUUUCAAAAACUAUCUUCUUGUGUAAUUUUAAUAAAAACAUACACAAGUAAUUAUGGGAGUCUCCCUUUUACUUGUGCUCCGGGACUCCUUGUCCUUUUUAAUGUUCAGGGCUGUUCAGUCUUCAUAAUUUAAGUCUUAUUUAAGAAGGCCUUUAGUGCCGACUUUUCUGUGAAUGACCGAUAAGCACAGUGAGAAACUAUUGCAGUGAAAACAUUCUCCAGUGAGGAGAACUGUGGCAGGAAAGAGUUAAGUUUCAUUCAUUCCAAAGUGCCCUUUCAUAAGUCUAAGAGGCUUUUGCUUGGGGGAGUAGGAUCUCAAAGGCUUUGUUGGAGGGAUGUGGGGUGGGGGGUUUACCUCUCAAGACGAUAGAUCGUCAGGUAUUAUGCCAAAAAAGUGAGGAAAGUCUGGGCCCUAUAUCUUACCCAAGCCAAUCCAUCAAUUGCUAUUUAGGAAACGUUCUUUUCCUGUAUUAGAGUUUCAUUAUUGUUUCCUUCUUAAUGAAGUGAUGGGGGGGCGAGGUGAGUAUGCGCAGUGCUGGGUGGGAGGAGGUGAUGGAGAGAGAAUGGAGAGGAGCGUUCCUGGCUUCUGUUGUGGCGUCUUUUCUAUUUGACUUCAUGGUUGUAAGUAUUUCCAGAUGGUGAAUCAGACACCAGACGUAACAAUAUUUCCAUAUUUGGGUAUAGCAGUAGCCUGCGUUUUUAACAUUUUUCUGCCUCUGUUAUCCAACCACAAAGCAUUCUUGACAGCUUCAAAUGUUGUUAAAUAUAGACUUAACUUCUGUUCCCAGAGCAGGAAAUUCUUUGGAAUUCCUUGUUUUUCACGCAACCUGUCUAUCAUGAUUUAAAAUAAAAUUACAAUGAAUGAUCCAACUGGCCCGUGUAUAUACCUUGUUCUUUUAUUGAAGGGGUGGGGGCUGCGCAAAGAGAUUCAGCCUGCUGCACAGCGUUCAAACACACGCCAUUCCAGAGAUUCCUUUAAAAAUCAGAUUAAAGUUUUCUAACAAGGGUGUGUGGGUUCGUUUCUGGACUUCAACUGGGAAUCUUCGAGGAUGAGUUUGCCCCAGAGGAGAAACUUAGAGAACCUUACCGUCAGCUGCCCAUUUAAAGCAAGGGGUGUGUUGUGGGAGGGGGCUGGGAGCUGGAGUAAACAGGGCCAGGAGGUGGGGGAGCCGGAGAGGCUGGAGUAACCUAUGUGCACAGCCUUUCCGUAUGCUAUGUCCUGGUGCGCCUGCUAGUAAAGGACAGCACCAAGCGAGAGGAAGAGCAGCUCCUCAUGUCCUGCUCAAGGACGGUCCAGAAACCCCAGUCGUCCCCUCGCCUUCUCGCCUCCUCUGCUGAGAGCCGCAGAUCAGUUCACCUUGACAGAUUGGAAGGGAAAUGUGCAAAUGUUUAUGGUAUCAUUUUCAAGGAUUAAACACACCCAGAAAUGACAGAGAUGUUGGUGUUAGCAAGCAAGGACUUUGAAACAGCUCUUAUAAACAUACUUAAGGAUUCAGAAGAAAAUGUGGACUCAAGUGAAUAGAGGGACAGUCUCACUAGAGAAAUGGAAACUAUUUUAAAAAACCCUAGAAAUUCUAUAACUGAAAAAUAAAAUAUCCAAAAUGAAAAAUAAAAAUCACUAGAUGGGCUUAAGAGCAAAUUGGAUUCUACAGAAGAUAAAAAUUUGUGAAUUUGAAGACAGAUAAAUUAUCUGAACUGAAGCACAUAAAGAAAAAAGGCUAAAAAAAAUGAACAGAGCCUCAUUCACUUGUGGGGUAGUAUGUGGUGGCUUAUCACCUGUCAAACUGGAGUCCGAGGAGGAGAGGAGAAACCGACUGAGGCAGAAAAAACAUUUAAGAAAAAAGGAUGAAAAAAAUCCAAAUUUGAUGAAAAAUAUUAACCCAUGAAUCUAAGAAGCUCAGUGAACCCCAGGCAGGACAAAAAUUUUAAAAACUACCUCUGGGCACAUCAUACUCAAAUUCUGAAAACCAAGAAUCAAAGAGAAGAGUCAUAACAGCAGCCAGAAGAAAAAGACUCAUUCUGCACAAGACCUAGAGGAAUGAUAAAUCCGACUUCUCAACAAGCCAGAAGACAAUCAAACAACAUCUUUAAAGUGAUGAAAGAAAUAAAACCUAUUAACUUAGAAUUAGAAACCUAGUGAAAAGAGCCUUCAAAAAUGAAGGCAAGAGAGAGAGAGAGAGAGAGAGAGAGAGAGAGAGAAACAUUCCCAAAUAAGCAAAAGCUGAGAGAAUUUGUCAGCAAUAGACAUGUACUAUAAGACAUGUUAAAGGAAUUUCUUCAAGCUGAAGAAAGUGACACUAGAUGCAAACUCAGAUCAACAUGAAAAAUGAAGAGUGCUGACCAUGGUAAAUACUUUCAUCUGUAUAGAAAAGGAGCUCUGGUAGCUUCUGCUGAGAGUUUUCAGUGGGAAAUGCUUCCAAAAGAAAAAAAGACAAAGAAAAAGCAACAGCUAUUUUGUAGACUGCAUUUCUAAAAUUAUAUUCAGGAUUAAGCAGCUGUAACAUUGCCAUUCAUCGCCGAGGCUCCUGGUUUCAGCAUGUCUCGUUGGUUCCUGGCCAGUGCUGGUUGUUCAGGUAGCAGCGGUGGCUGGGAGUGCCUCUCCAGCCUGCAUUCUUUGGCUAUGAAUUUUAUAGCCCUGUUUAUCUGAUGAAGACCUCCCCAUAGUGAGUUGCUCAUGACAUGGUCACACAGACCACGAAUGAUAGGGAAAGAUACUGGAUGUUUCUCUUCCUGGAAGGCCAACCAAUCCUGAAUUUCCCAGUUCCUUUACUCUGGCUGAUUGCUGCAAAGGCCUGGUGCUGAGAUUGGAUGAGACUCUGCCCUGCAUGAACCAGAUUCUAGCAGGAUGCGUGCAAGUCCUCUCUAUGGCUUUCUUCAUGCCAUGGGAAACACGGCUCCUAGCAACCUGGGUCUCUCAUCUCGUCCUAGAGUUCUUCUACCAGCAAAGAAAGAGGAUUUCUUCCUCUUUGGCAGCAGCCUGAAAACAAUGCCAAGAAUGACUUGCAUUGGAUCAACUUAGGUCACAUACUCCUCUCCAAACCAAUCACCAAGCCAGGAAGAUGGGGUAAUAUGAAUGGUCCAAUCAAGAGCAUGUCUCCACCCUUGUCAUUAGAAUGUUUUUUUUAUCCUAUGGAAGGAGGUGGAUGGGGCAAGCAAAAAAGGGAACCUUAUUGUCUAUGAAAUGUAAUAGAGAAAUUAGUAUUUUAAUGGUAGGGCUAGGUUAAAAGAGCCAAAAAACUAGAAUCAGGAUGUCUGGCUAAGAUAGCACAAGGCUCAAGUGGACAUGUCAAGUGGACUUUUCAGCCAAGAAGGGAAGCCGGUCAUACUUUUGUCUCCAAAUAUAUUAGCUCAUAGAGUACAAAAAUUUAUUUUUUAAUAUACACAUCUUUUAAUGGAGAAAGUUAUAAACACUUGGGUACUGUCUUAGAAAAAGCAAAACUCUCCAAAGAGGAUGGUUGGAGGCUGGACCACAGACUGACAUCCCUGUUUGAAAAACUGCAAGAUGUCUUGUCCUCUGGGAAUGCAUUAUUCUAACAGCUUGCUUAAUGCUUUUAUUUCCUGUGGAGUGGGCUGGGGAUGGGAGCUCAAAGCAGACACAUAAAUUGAAUUAUAUAGAGGAGAACUUCUCUUAAAGUCUUUGCUGGGGCUGUUUAAGACACUGAACUCUUUCCUCUUGGCUCCAGGACUUUACUGUCCACUCUAUUACGUUAGUGGGAGGACUCUUGUAUUGAGGUCUGGAGAGCUUGUGACUGGGAGAAGAGUCAGUGUUUUGACUUUUUAUGCCAACAUCAUCAUUUAGUCACUCGUUUCACAUUUCUCCUGUCAGUUGGGCCCUCGAUUCAAGGUUACCUUGAUUACUUCCUCAAGUCCUUAGUCAAGAAUCUUUCUAAAUUAUUUUUCCUCAAAAAGUUCUUGUCUUUUCACCAACUCACUUUUUCUUCUUUCUGUCUUAAAAUUAGACAUAUUCCUACUCUUUUCCAGCACGAAAUUCUUCCCUCUUUUACCCCCUUAGGAAACGAAUUCCAUCCAUUACUUCAUCUUCAGUUAUCCCUCUCUGCUGCAUCUUUCUCCACUUAUCCACCUGCAAGACUAUCCCCCUGAGAUACCAGCAUAAGAGAUUAUGUAUGUGGAAGUGCUCUGUUACUCUAAAGUGGAGCAUAAAUAUGGAAUAGCACUGCUAUCCUGAC